CUAUGACAACAUCGUUUCAUCUAAAUUAGUCCCAAUCGACUGUUUGGCACUCAAGGAACAUUUUUUAUGAAGGUCACGAAGAGAAAGGAGUUCAGAAUAAGAAGAAGGAUAUAACAUGACCUAGCAUAGUUCCCUAGCAUUCUAAGGUGUGAUUAAGAGCCUACUUAUGGAGUGUUUUCAAGUGACAAGAAGGAGUUGGCAGUAGAUGGACGAGUUCUAGAGAAGUGUGAAAGGGGUAUCAAAGAGUUCAAUUAGCAAGUGAUGAAAGAAUUUGAGAUGGCUGACCUUGGGAUACUCAUGUACUACCACGAUAUUGAGGUGAACCAAAAGUAAGAUUGCAUCAUGCUAAAUCAACGAAUCUAUGCUAAGAAUUUUGCCCCCAAAUUAUGACCCAUUUAGGGUGGAGAUACCACAUAUUUGUAUCAAUCAAUUUCACUUCGACCAAGGUAUGACUCAUUUAAACUCCAAA